rnacentral:lncRNA from 1 species
CGCACAGACUAACUGUACAGAAUUCGGCCACUUUGGUUCAAUUGAUCUAUUGUGUAUAUCUCAUGUGGUUUUCUUAAUGACGUUUCUCUCUUCUGCAAGUCUCAGAAUCAGGGGGAUUCUACUACUCUUGCUGCAUGCCGAAUUUUUAGUAAGAAAACGAACUGACUUUAAGUUGGUAAUGAUCACACAUAAUUAUUUUUUGGGGGGUAAAACACAUUGGUGAUGCCUAAUAUUACUUAUUUAAAAAAUCUAUAGCCUGAAAUACCUCUGGGCCUGCGUGUGUCUGUCCCAGCACCUCCAAGGGGAGGCAGACAACAGCAUUUCCUCUCAGAAAUGGGCUUGUUCCAAACGCACGUCCAGCUCGUUCACCUCCAUCGGGGGUGGCGGGGGCCAGAGUCUCCUCCGGUGUCCAGGCAUGGGGCUGUGUUUCCACAGGAACUCUAUUUUCCUCCUUCAAAUCUGAGGCACAUUAGGAUAUUUCUGCACUCGGAGGUGGAACCAGAAAGAGGAAGAAGUUGCAGCCAAGGGAGAUGCGUUCUGGAUGAGAGAACCAGAUCUUCUGGUCAGACCACCCUUCUGUGGACUCACAUGAACUUUGCCAGCUGCUCUAGCUGCUUUUGUCCAAAGGCCCAAGUAGCUGAUGGUGAAUCCAGAAAGGACCCAGAUCUAGAAUGUGCUCAUCAGUGAGGGCACAUCUGGCCACCUCCCGGCGUUCACAGAUGGCAGUCCCUGGAUGCCAUCACCCAGUUAU